GGACCCGACUGCUAUCGGGGUAGGGCUAAGCCAUGGAAGUCGAACGCCCCGCCGCUGCGGGGCGUGGCGCACGGCUGAGUAACACGUGGCUAACCUACCCUCGGGAGGGGGAUAACCUCUCGGGAAACUGGGGCUAAUCCCCCAUAGGCGGGGAGGCCUGGAAAGGUUCCCCGCCAAAAGGGGGCGCAGGGGGCCAUCGCCUGCGCUCCGCCCGAGGAUGGGGCUGCGGCCUAUCAGGUAGUUGGCGGGGUAACGGCCCGCCAAGCCGAAGACGGGUAGGGGCCGUGAGAGCGGGAGCCCCCAGAUGGGCACUGAGACAAGGGCCCAGGCCCUACGGGGCGCACCAGGCGCGAAAACUCCGCAAUGCGGGAAACCGUGACGGGGCUACCCCGAGUGCCCCCCUUGUGGGGGCUUUUCCCCGCUGUAAGAAGGCGGGGGAAUAAGCGGGGGGCAAGUCUGGUGUCAGCCGCCGCGGUAAUACCAGCCCCGCGAGACCGGGGCCCUAAACAAGCCCCGGCGCGACUGGUCGGGGUGAUUAUUGGGCCUAAAGCGGCCGUAGCCGGCCCGGUAAGUCCCCCCUGAAAGUCUCGGGCUCAACCCGAGAAGCGGGGGGAUACUGCCGGGCUAGGGGGCGGGAGAGGCCGAGGGUACUCCCGGGGUAGGGGCGAAAUCCUAUAAUCCCGGGAGGACCACCAGUGGCGAAGGCGCUCGGCUGGAACGCGCCCGACGGUGAGGGCCGAAAGCCGGGGGAGCGAACCGGAUUAGAUACCCGGGUAGUCCCGGCUGUAAACU
rnacentral:rRNA from 1 species